CCCACGGGGGGCUGCAGUGGGGAAUAUUGGACAAUGGGGGGAACCCUGAUCCAGCCAUGCCGCGUGUGUGAAGAAGGCCCUCGGGUUGUAAAGCACUUUCAGUGAGGAAGAACGCCUGGUGGUUAAUACCCAUCAGGAAAGACAUCACUCACAGAAGAAGCACCGGCUAACUCCGUGCCAGCAGCCGCGGUAAUACGGAGGGUGCGAGCGUUAAUCGGAAUUACUGGGCGUAAAGCGCGCGUAGGUGGCUUGAUAAGCCGGUUGUGAAAGCCCCGGGCUCAACCUGGGAACGGCAUCCGGAACUGUCAAGCUAGAGUGCAGGAGAGGAAGGUAGAAUUCCCGGUGUAGCGGUGAAAUGCGUAGAGAUCGGGAGGAAUACCAGUGGCGAAGGCGGCCUUCUGGACUGACACUGACACUGAGGUGCGAAAGCGUGGGUAGCAAACAGGAUUAGAUACCCUUGUAGUC
rnacentral:rRNA from 1 species